GCAGUCGUGGCCGAGUGGUUAAGGCGAUGGACACGAAAUCCAUUGGGGUCUCCCCGCGCAGGUUCGAAUCCUGCCGGCUGCG
rnacentral:tRNA from 1 species